GUGACUUUAAAUGAACUGGCAAGAUCUUUGCAUCCCUGGCAUGUUGUUUUCUAUAAAACUGCAGAGCUGCCUUCAAUGAAGGUUUUACGAAUGUAUAAGUUGUUUCAUGAAGGUUUCACCUCUGAAAUGUUGGAGGACAUGUUGCUUGAUGUCCCUGGAUCAUCCCAGGAGGCUUGCUUGGAGUGGAUGGACUUAUGAAUGAAUACAUGGAGAAC